rnacentral:rRNA from 1 species
UACGGAGGGUGCAAGCGUUAUCCGGAUUCACUGGGUUUAAAGGGUGCGUAGGUGGGUUGGUAAGUCAGUGGUGAAAUCUCCGUGCUUAACAUGGAAACUGCCAUUGAUACUACUGAUCUUGAAUUUUCCGGAGGUUAGCGGAAUAUGUCAUGUAGCGGUGAAAUGCUUAGAUAUGACAUAGAACACCGAUUGCGAAGGCAGCUAACUACAGGGAUAUUGACACUGAGGCACGAAAGCGUGGGGAUCAAACAGG